GACACAGUGUAAGCAGACCGAGUGCCUGGCAUAGAGGCCCUUCCGUCAAUGAAAGCUACUGGUGCCAUUAUUGUCCUUAAACGAAGCCCUGAAUAGGAUGAUUCACUCUACAAAGCUGUACUGGUGUGCUCAGUCGUGUCCAACUCUUUGGGGCCCUAUGGACUGUAGCCUGCCAGACUCCUCUGUCCAUGGAAUUCUCCAGGCAAGAAUAUUGGAGUGGGUUGCGAUGAUUUCCUAUUCCAGGGGAACUUGCUGACCCAGGGAUUGAACCCUCGUCUCCUGCAUCUCCUGUACUGACAGGCGGAUUCUUUACCACUGCGCCUCCUGGGAAACCCACGCUUACACAUUAG
ensembl:lncRNA